rnacentral:rRNA from 1 species
AUUGAACGCUGGCGGCAUGCCUUACACAUGCAAGUCGAACGGCAGCACGGGAGCAAUCCUGGUGGCGAGUGGCGAACGGGUGAGUAAUAUAUCGGAACGUGCCCAGUCGUGGGGGAUAACGCAGCGAAAGCUGUGCUAAUACCGCAUACGAUCUACGGAUGAAAGCGGGGGAUCGCAAGACCUCGCGCGAUUGGAGCGGCCGAUAUCAGAUUAGCUAGUUGGUGAGGUAAAGGCUCACCAAGGCGACGAUCUGUAGCUGGUCUGAGAGGACGACCAGCCAAACUGGAACUGAGACACGGUCCAGACUCCUACGGGAGGCAGCAGUGGGGAAUUUUGGAAAAUGGGCGAAAGCCUGAUCCAGCAAUGCCGCGUGCAGGAUGAAGGCCUUCGGGUUGUAAACUGCUUUUGUACGGAACGAAACGGUGAGCUCUAAUACAGUUUGCUAAUGACGGUACCGUAAGAAUAAGCACCGGCUAACUACGUGCCAGCCGCCGCAGUAAAAC